CAUUUUCAAACCCCAGUACGGUAAUGUGCAGUUAACCUCCUCUGUUUAGAAAAUGAAUGGUUUAAAAUGUGACCGUCUCGCCGUUAUAUUAGUAGAGAUUUCUAGAUUAAUCUUCGUACAACGUCAAAGUUCGCCAGAGUUCACGGCGCGGCGCCGAAUCACACAUUGCUCAUAUGAGUGUGCGAACUGGGAACUGAUGACACUCAACAUCCACCGAAAGCAGAUGGUAUCACAUCGGUGAAGGACUUCAAGGACUAACUGUAGACAGAGAGAUGGAGAGUUGCGUAGAGGCUUGCAAUGAAGUGCGAAGUCAGAAGAGGUCACUUACAGACGGCACGGGCUGUCAGGCAGAGAAUCAGGAGGGCAGGGGUGUAAGAGAAAAGCAGACCCCCGUGUCUGAGAGAAAACCGAGGAGGGAAAUGAAAAGGAAAGAUUGAAGAUCUCAGAUGACUGGAGGGAAAUCAACAAAUACAACAAUGCACACGCAGAGCAAAUAUACAGAAUAGAGCACAAAUUCGAGGAAGAAAACAAACCGAGGGAGUCAACGGUUUGCAUCAGAGUAGGCCCAGUGGACAUUCACUCGGAAAGUUUGGAUUUAAAUGCAUUCCAAAAGUAUGCAAGUUUUUGCGUUGAAGAAUUUUGCGUUGAGGGAAUUCACCUUAAGAUACAUUUUUUUCAUCAAUUAUUGAACACAG